UACGUAGGGGGCGAGCGUUGUCCGGAGUUACUGGGCGUAAAGGGCAUGCAGGCGGUCCGACACGUUUUGUGUGACAGCGGGUGGCUUAACUACCCGAGGAUACGAAAGACGGUUGGACUUGAGGACUCGAGAGGGACACGGAAGUUCCGGGUGGAGUGGUGAAAUGCGUAGAGAGUCCGGAGGAGCACCGAAGGCGAAGGCAGUGUCCUGGCGAGUGACUGACGCUGAGGUGCGAAAGCCAGGGGAGCGAAC
rnacentral:rRNA from 1 species